rnacentral:rRNA from 1 species
ACCCAGACUCCUACGGGAGGCAGCAGUGGGGGAUAUUGCACAAUGGGGGGAACCCUGAUGCAGCGACGCCGCGUGAAGGAAGAAGUAUCUCGGUAUGUAAACUUCUAUCAGCAGGGAAGAAAAUGACGGUACCUGACUAAGAAGCCCCGGCUAACUACGUGCCAGCAGCCGCGGUAAUACGUAGGGGGCAAGCGUUAUCCGGAUUUACUGGGUGUAAAGGGAGCGUAGGCGGCAGUGCAAGUCAGAAGUGAAAGCCCGGGGCUCAACUCCGGGACUGCAUUUGGAACUGUGUAGCUGGAGUGUCGGAGAGGCAGGCGGAAUUCCUAGUGUAGCGGUGAAAUGCGUAGAUAUUAGGAGGAACACCAGUGGCGAAGGCGGCCUGCUGGACGAUGACUGACGUUGAGGCUCGAAAGCGUGGGGAGCAAACAGGAUUAGAUACCCCAGUAGCA